rnacentral:rRNA from 1 species
UACAGAGGAGCCAAGCGUUGUCCGGAUUGACUGGGCGUAAAGCGCACGCAGGCGGGGGUGCGCGUGGGGUGUGAAAUCUGGCCGCUUAACGGCCAGGCGCCAUCCCAUACGGCACGCCUGGAGCCUUGCAGAGGUCGGUGGAAUUGCCGGUGUAGUGGUGAAAUGCGUAGAGAUCGGCAGGAACACCCAGGGGGAAGCCAGCCGACUGGGCAAGUGCUGACGCUGAGGUGCGAGAGCGUGGGGAGCGAACCGG